rnacentral:tRNA from 1 species
AAGGUAGCCGUACGAGAACGUGCGGCUGGAUCACCUCCUUUUUAAGGAGUAAACAUGCGUUUUAAGUUCGCUUAAAACGAGAUGUUAACGGUCGGUUCUUGGAUUAUAGUUGAGAUUGUUAACUUGACGGGGCGUUUAUUUGUGUGUUAUUUCAGUUAUUUAUGUGCUGGACGGCAUUAUUUAUGCGGCGGAGACUGUAUCUUAAAAGUUACGAGUUGUAUAAACGGGCCUAUAGCUCAGUUAGUCAGAGCGCACCCCUGAUAAGGGUGAGGUCUGUGGUGCAACUCCACAUAGGCCCAC